AUUGAACGCUGGCGGCAUGCUUUACACAUGCAAGUCGAACGGUAACAGGCCUUCGGGUGCUGACGAGUGGCGAACGGGUGAGUAAUGCAUCGGAACGUACCCAGAGGUGGGGGAUAACGCAGCGAAAGCUGUGCUAAUACCGCAUGUGAUCUGAGGCUGACAGCGGGGGACCGAGCAGCAAUGUUUGGCCUCGCGCCUUUGGAGCGGCCGAUGUCGGAUUAGCUAGUUGGUGGGGUAAAGGCCUACCAAGGCGACGAUCCGUAGCUGGUCUGAGAGGACGACCAGCCACACUGGGACUGAGACACGGCCCAGACUCCUACGGGAGGCAGCAGUGGGGAAUUUUGGACAAUGGGCGCAAGCCUGAUCCAGCAAUGCCGCGUGCGGGAAGAAGGCCUUCGGGUUGUAAAGCGCUUUUGGCAGGAACGAAACGGUGUCCGCUAAUACCGGGCGCUAAUGACGGUACCUGAAGAAUAAGCACCGGCUAACUACGUG
rnacentral:rRNA from 1 species